UGUUCCAGCCUAACGGCACCGUUGUCAACGCCACCUACCCCUUCGUCGUCGGCCCCGACGCCAUCUUCUACCCCCAGUUCGUCCUGCCGUCCUACACCUGCCCUCCUCCCCCUCCCGCCCCCUCUCCGCCGCCCAAGCCCCCGACCCCCUCGCCUCCUCCUCUGCCCCCUCAGCCCAACCCGCCCCCGGCUCCUCCCAGCCCCAACCCGUCGCCUCCUCCCCCUCCUCCGGGCUUCCGCUUCCAGAUGUCAGUCAUCAACGGUGACCAGAACGACGCCAUCAACUGCCCUCGCUACACAUCCUGGAUGAACGCCAUGAUGGACUCGUUCGAGCGGACCAACA
rnacentral:lncRNA from 1 species